GGACAGAACUCUGGAAAGUUUUUUAAUAAACACCGAAGGGGUAAUUUUCCAUCGGUCAGCGGUGGAAAAAAUCUCUCAGGUAAAAAGACAGAGUAGAAAAU
rnacentral:ncRNA from 2 species